rnacentral:lncRNA from 10 species
AGACCAGAAACCACCCCUGACCUGUUCGGCUGGGCAGGAACAGGGACAGAGCAGGCGGAAAAGCUCUCAGCCCAGGAUAGCCGGGGGAGAGGGGCGUGGGAAGACCCCUGUCCAGAUGCAGUUCGUGGCCACCCACCCUGAUGGUGUCUGCUGAGGUCCAGAUCGUAGUUUUAGGAGGGGGUUCGUGGCUGUUCUGCCCAAUUCUGUUGAAGCCCUGAGCAUCAGCCUGGCUUUGAUGGGUUAUACUGGGCUGUUGUGGUGUAGCUUGUCUAUUCCAUUGCAUUGUUUCUGUUCUAUUGUGUGUUCUGGUCUGUUCUAGAACCUACCAAUCCUUUCUAUUCUAUUGUGUUUAUUCAUUCAGCAGAUACUUACUGACCACCCCUGUGUGCCAGGCAGUCUUCCAGAUGCUCGGGUCACAACUUUGUUUAUUUAUUUAUUUAUUUAUUUAUUUUGUGACGGAAUCUCACUCACUCUGUUGCCUAGGCUGGAGUGCAGUGGCGCGAUCUCGGCUCACUGCAUGGAGUUACAACUUUGGAUGAAAUGAGACCUCUGCCCCAGGGCGUUCAUGGGGAGACCAGCAACUGAUAAAUAUCAGGUAGUGGUAAGAGCUGAGAACAGCAGCAGCAGCAUCAAAGCAGAGAGCCACAGAAGGAGCGAGGCGCAGGCUGCGUUCACAGUGCGGGGAGCAGGGUCAGGAGCAGCCGCAGCCUCACUGGCAAGAUGACAGUCUUUUUUUUUUUUUUUUU